rnacentral:lncRNA from 1 species
GCCUCGGCCUUCUUUCUUUUCUCCUCCAAGGUGGCCUUUAGAUCUGUCCAGGUUUGUUCCUCCUUCCACAGUGCCUCUUGGAGACUUGCAACUUCGGCAACCUUCUCCUUAAGGCGGGCAACCUCAGCCUGGCAACCUUCCUCCACCUGGACUGCUUCCUUCUUGGCAUUGUUCAUCGCCUCAAUGUUGGCGACGAGCUGGUGUCCAAUCUGCAAGAGCAGCCAGGGAGUCAAUAUGAAAGCUAAGAAAUGAACUAAGUGAAAAAGCGAAAGGAGAAAAAAAGUAAAUCAGCCUACCUCAA